GUAAAUCGCAAACCAUUUGAAAGAGUGGGACGCAAAGUCUGGAGUCUAAAGCAUCCUGCGGAUGCCAUGAUCGUUCGACUGCCA
rnacentral:ncRNA from 1 species